GACGAACGCUGGCGGCGUGCUUAACACAUGCAAGUCGAACGGUAAGGCCCUUCGGGGUACACGAGUGGCGAACGGGUGAGUAACACGUGGGUGAUCUGCCCUGCACUUCGGGAUAAGCAUGGGAAACUGGGUCUAAUACCGGAUAGGACUCCUGGCUUCAUGGUUGGGGGCGGAACGCUUUUGCGGUGUGGGAUGGGCCCGCGGCCUAUCAGCUUGUUGGUGGGGUGAUGGCCUACCAAGGCGACGACGGGUAGCCGGCCUGAGAGGGUGACCGGUCACACUGGGACUGAGAUACGGCCCAGACUCCUACGGGAGGCAGCAGUGGGGAAUAUUGCACAAUGGGCGCAAGCCUGAUGCAGCGACGCCGCGUGAGGGAUGACGGCCUUCGGGUUGUAAACCUCUUUCAGCUAUGACGAAGCGCAAGUGACGGUAGUAGCAGAAGAAGGACCGGCCAACUACGUGCCAGCAGCCGCGGUAA
rnacentral:rRNA from 1 species